AGUGAACGCUGGCGGUAGGCCUAACACAUGCAAGUCGAACGGCAGCACAGUAAGAGCUUGCUCUUACGGGUGGCGAGUGGCGGACGGGUGAGGAAUACAUCGGAAUCUACUUUUUCGUGGGGGAUAACGUAGGGAAACUUACGCUAAUACCGCAUACGACCUACGGGUGAAAGCAGGGGAUCUUCGGACCUUGCGCGAUUGAAUGAGCCGAUGUCGGAUUAGCUAGUUGGCGGGGUAAAGGCCCACCAAGGCGACGAUCCGUAGCUGGUCUGAGAGGAUGAUCAGCCCCACUGGAACUGAGCCACAGUCCAGACUCCUACGGGAGGCAGCAGUGGGGAAUAUUGGACAAUGGGCGCAAGCCUGAUCCAGCCAUGCCGCGUGGGUGAAGAAGGCCUUCGGGUUGGAAAGCCCUUUUGUUGGGAAAGAAAAGCAGCAGGUUAAUACCCCGCUGUUCUGACGGUACCCAAAGAAUAAGCACCGGCUAACUUCGU
rnacentral:rRNA from 1 species